rnacentral:sRNA from 1 species
GGAGUGAGAAGGCCGGGGAGGCAGGCCCUGCUGUCUUCCUGCAGGCCGGCAGCCUGCUGGCAGUGGAGGACCAGGCCGUCCAGGAAAGGAAGGGCUGUUAGCCGAGCAAGAGCUGGACGAGCUUGCUGAUGACCGUAUGGCACUGGUGUCAGGCAUCAGCUUAGAUCCAGAAGCAGCGAUUGGUGUGACAAAACGGCCACCUCCUAAGUGGGUGGAUGGAGUGGAUGAAAUUCAGUAUGAUGUUGGCCGGAUUAAGCAGAAGAUGAAAGAAUUGGCCAGCCUUCAUGACAAGCAUUUAAACAGACCCACCCUGGAUGACAGCAGCGAAGAGGAACAUGCCAUUGAGAUAACUACCCAAGAGAUCACUCAGGCAUGAAGAAUCGAGAGGAAAGAUCCCAGCAUUUUUUCGACACAUCAGUACCACUAAUGGAUGAUGGAGACGAUAACACUCUUUACCAUCGGGGUUUUACAGAGGACCAGUUAGUUCUGGUGGAGCAGAACACACUGAUGGUGGAAGAGCGGGAACGA